rnacentral:tRNA from 1 species
GGGCGAUUAGCUCAGUUGGCUAGAGCGCUUGCUCGACACGCAAGAGGUCACUGGUUCGAGUCCAGUAUCGCCCACCA